ACCAUCGUUCCUCUCUCACCUACCAUCGUUCCUCUCUCACCUACCAUCGUUCCUCUCUCACCUACCAUCGUUCCUCUCUCACCUACUUGGUUUUUGGAGAGUCAAAUUGAACAAGGCUUUGGAGAGACCGCACACCCAGAGAUACAGGCCACUCUAGUUGUUCCUGAAGACUUUUUAAACAACUUCUCAGUGAAUGCUGAAAAAUCUGACUACGUUGAAGAUGCUGAGCAAUUGGAACAGUACUUCAUGACAUCUUUCAGCAACCUACCGUCAGACUCAGAAGUGUCAAAAA